rnacentral:rRNA from 1 species
UACGUAGGGACCGAGCGUUGUCCGGAUUCAUUGGGCGUAAAGAGCUCGUAGGCGGCCGCUCAAGUCGAAUGUGAAAACUCGAGGCUCAACCUCGAGCCUGCAUUCGAUACUGGGCGGCUAGAGUCUGGUAGGGGGAUCUGGAAUUCCUGGUGUAGCGGUGGAAUGCGCAGAUAUCAGGAGGAACACCGGUGGCGAAGGCGGCCUGCUGGGCAGUUUAGCUGACACUGAGGCGCGACAGCGUGGGGAGCAAACAGG